UUGCUCGGAAUCACUGGGCGUAAAGCGCACGUAGGCGGAUUGCUAAGUCAGGGGUGAAAUCCUGGAGCUCAACUCCAGAACUGCCUUUGAUACUGGCGACCUUGAGUCCGGGAGAGGUGAGUGGAACUGCGAGUGUAGAGGUGAAAUUCGUAGAUAUUCGCAAGAACACCAUUGGCGAAGGCGGCUCACUGGCCCGGUACUGACGCUGAGGUGCGAAAGCGUGGGGAGCAAGCAGG
rnacentral:rRNA from 1 species